GACGAACGCUGGCGGCGUGCUUAACACAUGCAAGUCGAACGGAAAGGCCCUGCUUUUGUGGGGUGCUCGAGUGGCGAACGGGUGAGUAACACGUGAGUAACCUGCCCUUGACUGUGGGAUAACUUCAGGAAACUGGGGCUAAUACCGGAGAGGAGCUCCUGCUGCAUGGGGGGGGUUGGAAAGUGUCGGCGGUUGGGGAUGGACUCGCGGCUUAUCAGCUGGUUGGUGGGGUAGUGGCUUACCAAGGCUUUGACGGGUAGCCGGCCUGAGAGGGUGACCGGCCACCUUGGGCCUGCGAUACGGCCCAGUCUCCUACGGGCGGCAGCAGUCGGGAAUAUUGCACAAUGGCCGGACGCCUGAUGCAGCAACGCCGCGUGCGUGAUGCCGGCCUUCGGGUUGUAAACCGCUUUCGCCUGUGCCGAAGCGUGAGUGACGGUACUGGGUAAAGAAGCACCGGCUAACUACGUG
rnacentral:rRNA from 1 species